UACGUAGGGGGCAAGCGUUGUCCGGAUUUAUUGGGCGUAAAGAGCGUGUAGGCGGCCAGGUAGGUCCGCUGUGAAAACUCGAGGCUCAACCUCGAGAUGUCGGCGGAAACCAUCUGGCUAGAGUCCGGGAGAGGAGAGUGGAAUUCCUGGUGUAGCGGUGGAAUGCGCAGAUAUCAGGAAGAACACCCGUGGCGAAAGCGGCUCUCUGGAACGGUACUGACGCUGAGACGCGAAAGCGUGGGGAGCGAACAGG
rnacentral:rRNA from 1 species